rnacentral:rRNA from 1 species
UACGUAGGGUGCAAGCGUUGUCCGGAAUUAUUGGGCGUAAAGAGCUCGUAGGCGGUUUGUUGCGUCGGCUGUGAAAUCCCGAGGCUCAACCUCGGGUCUGCAGUCGAUACGAGCAAACUAGAGUGUUGCAGGGGAGACUGGAAUUCCUGGUGUAGCGGUGAAAUGCGCAGAUAUCAGGAGGAACACCGGUGGCGAAGGCGGGUAGCUGGGCCGACACUGACGCUGAGGCGCGAAAGCCAGGGGAGCGAACGGG